rnacentral:lncRNA from 1 species
GGGGUCUAUAUAGUUGAGCAUUAACCACCUUUGAAUAGUACCAAAGUUACUGUUUAGAUAAAGAUAGUGGAGAACACAUUGGGCACGGGGGCCAUGGGCCAGCUUGGUCUAACCAAGGUCCACCCCCGCACAAUAACUCCAGAGAUCUCUUCUACAUUAUAUUCCAUCGGUGUUAUAAGUCAGGGCUAUGAUUCGAUUAGGCCAAUUAGUUUUCUGGUCAUCCGAUUAGUCAUCGACAAAUCACGGUUAGUUGUCUGACUAGGAGGUGGACAACUAGAAAGAUAAUGGAAUUGCUGGCCAGCUUAGGACAUGGGCUGCAUGUGGGAUGGCUUAAGUCACUUGGGCUCAUGUCGUUCAGCCCAAUUUGCAAUCCUACAUGCAGCCACCACCUAGAGUUAUCUUCAUGCUUGAUUUGUACUCUAGAACAUAUAGUAUAUUAGUCCUGAUAUAUAUAGGACGACGACUAGGACCGACCAGGUAGACGAUUAAUCAUGACUAGUCACCUAGUCGGUCCCAUGGCGACUAGGAUCGACUAGACGACUUGAUAACACUAUACAAU